CCUACGGGGCGCAGCAGUGGGGAAUAUUGGACAAUGGGCGAAAGCCUGAUCCAGCCAUGCCGCGUGUGUGAAGAAGGCCUUCGGGUUGUAAAGCACUUUCAGUGGGGAAGAAAGCCUUGGGGCUAAUACCCUCGAGGAAGGACAUCACCCACAGAAGAAGCACCGGCUAACUCCGUGCCAGCAGCCGCGGUAAUACGGAGGGUGCGAGCGUUAAUCGGAAUUACUGGGCGUAAAGCGCGCGUAGGCGGUCUGAUAAGCCGGUUGUGAAAGCCCCGGGCUCAACCUGGGAACGGCAUCCGGAACUGUCAGGCUAGAGUGCAGGAGAGGAAGGUAGAAUUCCCGGUGUAGCAGUGAAAUGCGUAGAGAUCGGGAGGAAUACCAGUGGCGAAGGCGGCCUUCUGGACUGACACUGACGCUGAGGUGCGAAAGCGUGGGUAGCAAACAGGAUUAGAUACCCCAGUAGUC
rnacentral:rRNA from 1 species